AUACGAAAGGUGCAAGCGUUGUGCGGAUUUACUGGGCGUAAAGAGAGUGUAGGUGGUUUAUUAAGUCGGAUGUGAAAUCCCGGGGCUCAACCUCGGAACUGCAUUCGAUACUGAUAGGCUAGAGUUUGGGAGGGGUAAGCGGAAUUCCGUGUGUAGCAGUGAAAUGCGUAGAUAUACGGAGGAACACCUGAGGCGAAGGCGGCUUACUGGACCAAUACUGACACUGAGACUCGAAAGCGUGGGUAGCAAACGGGAUUAGAAACCCUAGUAGUCC
rnacentral:rRNA from 1 species